rnacentral:rRNA from 1 species
UACGUAGGGGGCAAGCGUUGCUCGGAAUUACUGGGCGUAAAGCGCACGUAGGCGGUUUCUUAAGUCGGGGGUGAAAUCCUGGAGCUCAACUCCAGAACUGCCUUCGAUACUGGGAAACUUGAGUCCGGGAGAGGUGAGUGGAACUGCGAGUGUAGAGGUGAAAUUCGUAGAUAUUCGCAAGAACACCAGUGGCGAAGGCGGCUCACUGGCCCGGUACUGACGCUGAGGUGCGAAAGCGUGGGGAGCAAACAGG